GCCUAGGUGGCUCAGUGGUUGAGUGUCUGCCUUCAACUCAGGGCAUGAUCCCAGAGUCCUGGGAUCGAGUCCCACAUUGGGCU
rnacentral:tRNA from 1 species